CUAUAAAGGUACUCCCUUCCUUUAUUCCUUUAUUCAUUCAUUUAUUUAUUUUUUCUCUUUGGAAAGAGUUGAAGUGUUUACUUUGUUAAAGAUAUUUUAAUCUCCCACAAGAACAGAAUACAAAAGGUUACAGCUUAGAUUUUCUCUCAUGGAUUUGUGUGUGCAAUGUAAUACCAGCUUUUCGAAUUGACAAAUGGGUUUUCUACACACUUGCAUUCAGAAGACUCUUUUCUUUCCUACUCUGCCCAACAUACAGAUCUCAACAAAGUACUGGGAAAGGAUUUGACAAGAAGUAGGAACAGACUUUUCUCAAGACAAUGCAGCUAUAAACAAGAGUCAGGAAAACAGAUUAAUUUGGUGGUCAGAUAAUCUUUGAAAAUCCUUGGAUUGACUAUGGUGUAUAUCUGACUAUGUACUGGCAUUUGGAAAAGAAAUUGGAAAAUUAGAUUUUGGCUACAGUAUUUGUUUCUUUCUGUUUUUCCUUUAGUCUAAACACACAAAUCCAUAUAGUGCAGUAGAAAUUUAGCAGUCAUAUUAUGUAGUUAUCAACACCAGAAAACUUUUUAUGAUGAUGGUACAGCUUAAAAAAAUAAUCAAAAUCUACCAACACUUCCUUGCAGUGGAUUGUAUAUUCUAAAUGUAGCUGGUUCUCUGAUGCCACACCUUGAAGCUGUGAAUAAACCCUGAUACUUACAAACAGCAGACUAGAUUUAAGCUUUUUGGUAGAAAUAAUGAGCUAAACUUAUCUUCCUUAAAAUACUCUACGAAAAACAAUUUUGUCACAAGAGCCUGCCUAUGUAGGCUUUGCCCUCAAUAAAGUCCUGAUGCCUGUGGCUACAGAUUCACAGCACCUAAUUUUGGAAUGAAAGGAUGGGAGUAUCAGGACACUGCUUUCAAACAGAGUAUCAAGGGUUUAUUUUUCCCAGCACUAUGAGGCACAGGUCUUCUUGAUAGUCUCUUCUGGUGCCUGAGAAACACAAGAGAAGUUUUCACAGAAUGGCCAAGAUUUGAAGGGACCUCUAAAGAGAGGUCCCUUCAAACCUUUGCACAGGAUGGCAUCCAGGGAGGUUUUGAAUAUUUCCAGAGAAGGAGACUCCACAGCCUGUUCUAGUUCAACUAGGUCAACCUGUUCUAGUCCUCUGUCACCCUCACAGUAAAGUGCCCUCUCAUUUUCAGCUGGAACUUCCUGUGUUUCAGUUUGUGCCCGUUGCCUUUAAUUCUGUUGCUAGGCACAACUGAAAAGAGUCUGGUUCCUCUUGACACCCUCCCUACAGAUAUCUAUACGUGUAUUGAUGAGAUGAAUAUCAUGCCUUACCUACCCAGGGCAGUAAAUUGUCUUCUCCAUACACAACCACAUGGUAGAUAUUAAAGACAAAACCAGCUCAGAGAGAUUUAAUUGACACUUGCAGAGCUGAGGGUUGCUGACCAAAGGUGAUGGGUGGCCAUGGCAAAGCUAGACCUCCUUUGGAAAAAAAAAAAAAAAAAAAAAAAGGAGCUGAGACAAAACUGCAAAACUGUAUUCUGAACUUUGUUUCUUGUUCCUCAUUAUGCAAGAGGAACAGUGGAACAGUGAGAGAUGAUCCCCAGCCACUAAAGAUGACUUCCAAGUUGUACAUUCUCAUUUAGGAAUAAUAGCACAAUCCUUUCCCCAGCAUCAGGUUCUUAUUUAGCUUUCCAAGGCUUUAGCUGAAACAAAAAUGGAGUGUCAAAAUGGCAGCUGAGCCUGCUUUCUAAUAGACGAUGCUUGAUAAUGUCUGUUUUGCCUGUGCCUAAAGACUGAACAGACAAUCAAAAUGGUGCAUAGGAACAAAAGUGCUACCUCAGGCUGCCUGCACUCUGUGCUCUUCUUCCAUUUCUCAUGCCAUGGAUGAGCACCACAACAUGGAAAGCCUUCUUGCAUACAAACACACUUCAACAGUGAGGAUUGCCUUGAUAGAAUUCCCUUCAGGGUCACACAAACAAGGAGAUGCUGUCUUUCCAUUGAUCCUAAGCAAAGGUAUAAUAAGGUUGGAGGAUCUAGUUCUUUACAUUGUAAAGCCUUUUCAAGUGCUGACUUUGAUAUAUCUGUGCUCUCUGUAGUUGUGUGUGGAUUUGUCGUUCUCUACAAAUAAUAAUAGAAUAUGGCAGUACAAAUAUUUGAUUAAUUUUGCAUUCAGUGUGAUUUAAGGGCACCAUUACAUACUCAGAUGUUAAUUCUGCACACUGGUUUUUUUUUGUUUUGUUUUGUUUUUUAUUAUUAUUAUUUAUUUAUUAGAAUUUGCCAGCUGUAAUGCACUAGAAACAAUCAUUCCAGAAAUGUAUAUAGGCUAUAUGUUCUAAAUCAAAGUGAAUUUUAGCUUAUCUAUAAGGCAACACAUUAAUUAUACUGAGUACCAUUUUAAAUUUAGUAUCAUUUUUCAAUUAUUUUAUAAUAUUAUUUCGCAUUAAUUCCUUUUCUAAUUUGCAAGAGCUAUGUUUUUGCAAUACUUAGGUUUAGCAAAUGUUGAUUUCUCAAAGUUGCUUCAAGUGACUGUUGAUGUUAUCCUAGGCAGGUACAUGUAUUCUGAAUAAAACACAAGGAAGGAGGAAUGAGUUUCACCUUCCUCAGGAACCAAGAAUUUCAAGCAUUUGUUCUGAUUUUUGGCUGUUAUUGGUAGCUAAGCUCCAAUAUUUUCUUCUUUGUCUACUUGUCUACUUAAGUGUCCAGAGUAAACACAGCAUGAUAAAAAUUAAUAUAUUGUGAGUUUGGAAAAAGUAACACUCCUCACUUUUCAUUAUCACUUUUGUUAUCAUGCCAAUGCCGUGAUGUAUCUGCAUUUGAUAAUUAUGUAAUUACAAAUAUAUAUUUUUUUAUUUAUAUAUUGCCAAUAAGUGUGGUAAAAUCCAAUGGUUAUCUUUCCCAUUUUCAAUAAUUCAUCUGACAUUGUAGAAGAUCCUGUACUUGUUUGAAUUGUUCUUGGUUGGAUUUUUCUCAACUCUAUAUCCAACAGAUCAAAGCUAAACUGAUUUCUGCAAGCCAUGUGAUCAGAAUAAGCUAUGAAAAGAUAAUAUAGAUAUAUUUUAAAAAGCAAUGACUUUUUCAAAGGCAGAAAAUUAAAAUAAAUAAAUAAAUAAAAUAUCCUAUUCAUAAUUUAGUCUUAGACUGAUCCCUGAACCUAGGAAGGGACCUAUGCCCUUGGUUCUUCAGAUUUUGCUUUUGCU